AAUUCAUAUGGAGCAUCACACCAGCUAUCUCCUGCUCCCUGUCCUGCACUGCAAAGGAGGCCUUUUCAUCCUCUCUACUGCCUCCAAUUUUUCUCACGAGGAAUGUGAGAGGAAAACCUAGAGCUUGUUCCUGAAGCAUGGUGCUAAGUCCAUAUGCAGCAGAUGGAGCUCAUGAGAAAAGAGUUGCUCUUGUGAAGACCAAAGCUUGAAAAAGCAUUCCCAGAAGCACGGAGAAGUGAGGAGAAAAGGCAAUGCACCUGGAGCUGGAGACCAAGGCCCUGUUCUUACUGAUGGCCCUUGGAGCAGAUAUUUGAAUUGGAGAGAUAAAACCGUGGUUUUUGGGGUGUUAAUUUUGGUGGCUGAUGCAUUCUGUGAUUGAUUUGGCUAUUACAACUGGUAUUGAUUUUAAACACAUUAAUUGCAAAAUCUCAAUUGUGAUUUGAUUUCUGUAUUUACAAUACUAAAAACGAGGCUUUCGCCAGGAGAAGACAAUUGGCAGUACUCAGUUGGAAGUGCUUAAUUGUUAAUAUAUAUCAGCCGUGGUUCUUCAGCGUCGUCAGUGUUGCUCAGUCUUGCUCUUUGUGGCGACUACUGAAUGCUUGAAAAAUUCUCUCCUAUACUCCCACUCUGCACUGUAGAAGAGAAAGAGAGGAGAGUGGAAGAAAAAAGAGAGGGAGAGGAGAAAGAAAGAGAGGAGAGAGAAACAUGGGCAUGGAUGAUACAUAAGGUAGUUGUAAACUGUGAUCAGCUUUGAUAAUAACUAGAUAAAUUCUUUUAAUACAAAAAUAUAUAAGGCAUUUUGCCUUUUUUUCAAAUUUCAAAUAAAUGGAUUUGUAUAGAAUGUAGUCUGUUGCCCAGAGUUUUCAUUUAGCAUAAUGCAUUUGAGAUUUAUCCAUGUUGUUGUAUAUUCUUUUUAUUGCUGAGUAGUAUUCCAUUGUGUGGAUAUACCAGUUUGUUUAUCCAUUAACCUUUGAUGGAUAUUUGGGUUUUUUUCAAUAUGAGGCUCUUAUAAAUAAACCUUCUGUAAUCAGGUCUUUGUGUAGUCACACAGUUUGUUUGUUUGUUUGUUUUUUAAAAAGAUGUUAGUAUUGUAAUUGUGUUUAAUAAGAAACUGUUCAGUAUUUCUGCAUGUCUACCAAAAAUACAUGAAAUGUUAGUUGCUUCUUUUAAAAUACUUGGUAUGUUUUUGCUUUUUUAUUUUAGCAACUUAAUAUGUGUGUAUUAUAACCUCAUUGUGGUUUUAAAUUACAUUUUCCUCAGUAACUAAUAAUGCUGAGCAUCUUUUAAUGUAUUUAAUGGUCAUUCAUAUAUCUCCUCAUGAAAUGUCUGUUAAAAUUGUAUGCUCAUUUAGAAAAAUCAGGAUGAUUGUCUUGUUGAGCUUUGAAAGCUCUUUGCAUAUUAUGAAUACAAGUUCUUUAUUAGACAUA
rnacentral:lncRNA from 1 species